AGAAGUGGCUGCGCCAACCGCAAGGAGGCAGGUCCCAAGGAGUGCACGGUAACUGGGGUG
rnacentral:rRNA from 1 species